rnacentral:tRNA from 1 species
GGGCCUGUAGCUCAAUGGUUAGAGCAGCAGACUCAUAAUCUGUUGGUUGUAGGUUCGAGUCCUACCGGGCCCACCA